AGAUUAAGUUAUUAAGCGCGCACGGUGGAUGCCUUGGCACUAGAAGCCGAUGAAGGACGUUACUAACG
rnacentral:rRNA from 1 species